CCUACGGGUGGCAGCAGUCGGGAAUAUUGCGCAAUGGAGGAAACUCUGACGCAGUGACGCCGCGUGCAGGAAGAAGGUUUUCGGAUUGUAAACUGCUUUAGACAGGGAAGAAAAAAGACAGUACCUGUAGAAUAAGCUCCGGCUAACUACGUGCCAGCAGCCGCGGUAAUACGGGGGAUGCAAGCGUUAUCCGGAUUUAUUGGGUUUAAAGGGUGGGCAGGCGGGCCUUUAAGCCGGCGGGGAAAGCGCGGGGCUCAACCCCGCCGAGCCGGCGGAACGGGGGGCCGUGAGUGCGGCGGAGGCAUGCGGAAUGCGCGGUGUAGCGGUGAGAUGCAUAGAUAUCGCGCAGAACCCCGAUUGCGAAGGCAGCGUGCCGUGCCGCCACUGACGCUGAGGCACGAAAGCGCGGGGAUCGAACAGGAUUAGAUACCCUUGUAGUC
rnacentral:rRNA from 1 species